AACGUAGGACGCAAGCGUUAUCCGGAAUUACUGGGCGUAAAGCGCGUGCAGGCGGGUUGUUAAGUUCGGCGUGAAAGCUCCCGGCUAAACUGGGAGAGGUCGUCGGAUACUGGCAGUCUGGAGUACGGUAGAGGGAUGUGGAAUUCCGGGUGUAGUGGUGAAAUGCGUAGAGAUCCGGAGGAACACCAGUGGCGAAGGCGGCAUCCUGGACCGUAACUGACGCUGAGACGCGAAAGCAUGGGUAGCGAACGGG
rnacentral:rRNA from 1 species